rnacentral:rRNA from 1 species
UGGCGGACGGGUGAGUAAUGCUGGGAAACUGCCUGAUGGAGGGGGAUAACUACUGGAAACGGUAGCUAAUACCGCAUAACGUCGCAAGACCAAAGAGGGGGACCUUCGGGCCUCUUGCCAUCGGAUGUGCCCAGAUGGGAUUAGCUAGUAGGUGGGGUAAAGGCUCACCUAGGCGACGAUCCCUAGCUGGUCUGAGAGGAUGACCAGCCACACUGGAACUGAGACACGGUCCAG